rnacentral:rRNA from 1 species
AACCUCCGCAAUGUGAGAAAUCGCGACGGGGGGAUCCCAAGUGCCAUUCUUAACGGGAUGGCUUUUCUUAAGUGUAAAAAGCUUUUGGAAUAAGAGCUGGGCAAGACCGGUGCCAGCCGCCGCGGUAACACCGGCAGCUCUAGUGGUAGCUGUUUUUAUUGGGCCUAAAGCGUUCGUAGCCGGUUUGAUAAGUCACUGGUGAAAUCCUGUAGCUUAACUGUGGGAAUUGCUGGUGAUACUGUUGAACUUGAGGUCGGGAGAGGUUAGCGGUACUCCCAGGGUAGAGGUGAAAUUCUGUAAUCCUGGGAGGACCACCUGUGGCGAAGGCGGCUAACUGGAACGAACCUGACGGUGAGGGACGAAAGCUAGGGGCGCGAACCGGAUUAGAUACCCGGGUAGUCCUAGCCGUAAACGAUGCGGACUUGGUGUUGGGAUGGCUUUGAGCCGCUCCGGUGCCGAAGGGAGCUGUUAAGUCCGCCGCCUGGGAAGUACGGUCGCAAGACUGAAACUUAAAGGAAGU